UACAGAGGGGGCAAGCGUUAUUCGGAAUUAUUGGGCGUAAAGGGCGUGUAGGCGGCUACACAAGUGGCGGGUGAAAUCCCUCGGCUUAACCGAGGAACUGCCUGCCAGACUGUGUGGCUUGAGACCGGGAGAGGUGAGUGGAAUUCCCAGUGUAGCGGUGAAAUGCGUAGAUAUUGGGAGGAACACCAGUGGCGAAGGCGGCUCACUGGACCGGAACUGACGCUGAGGCGCGAAAGCGUGGGGAGCAAACAGG
rnacentral:rRNA from 1 species